CUGUGUGGAAGCUGGGAUUCCAAUGGCAGGCAGGAAAUCUUGUACAUCUGUGAGCGUAAAUUUUUGUGGCCAUGGGAUGGACAAGAACCACAUGUUUACCUGAAGUCCUGUGACAUUUUGGUGUGCAGCAUGGGAGCUCCAAAAGUGACAUUCUUUCAGAUGCCAGAGGAUGCUAUAGAAAAAUGCGUGCCCUCUUGUAAUACUUUGUUCAAGUUCUGAUCAGAAGGAUGAAUGAUGGAGCCCAAGAAGCCAGAGUCUCAUUGUGUUGCUCAGGCUGGAAUCCAGUGGCAUGAUCUCGGCUCAGUGCAACCUCCGCCUCCUGGGUUCAAGC
rnacentral:lncRNA from 1 species